CGCCCGCCGCGCGCGGCGGGCGGGGCGGGGGCACGGGGGGCGUACGGGAGGCAGCAGUGAGGAAUUUUGCGCAAUGGGCGAAAGCCUGACGCAGCAACGCCGCGUGAGUGAUGAAGGCUUUCGGGUCGUAAAGCUCUGUCGAGGGGAAAGAAGUGUAUUGGAGCUAAUAUCUCCGAUACUUGACGGUACCCCUAAAGGAAGCACCGGCUAACUCCGUGCCAGCAGCCGCGGUAAUACGGGGGGUGCAAGCGUUGUUCGGAAUUAUUGGGCGUAAAGCGCGUGUAGGCGGUCUGAUUAGUCUGAUGUGAAAGCCCUGGGCUCAACCCAGGAAGUGCAUUGGAUACUGUCAGACUUGAAUACGGGAGAGGGUAGUGGAAUUCCUAGUGUAGGAGUGAAAUCCGUAGAUAUUAGGAGGAACACCGGUGGCGAAGGCGGCUACCUGGACCGAUAUUGACGCUGAGACGCGAAAGCGUGGGUAGCAAACAGGAUUAGAUACCCUGGUAGUCCACGCCGUAAACGAUGAGUACUAGGUGUUGCGGGUAUUGACCCCUGCAGUGCCGCAGCUAACGCAUUAAGUACUCCGCCUGGGAAGUACGGUCGCAAGACUAAAACUCGAAGGAAUUAACGGGG
rnacentral:rRNA from 1 species